CUUGCAGGUCCUUGGCGCGGCCCGGCGGCCCCUGGAUCAAGGCGAUCCGAACUGAACAAAGCGGGCUAGACGCCACCUUUCCGCCCCCACGCCUUGGCUAAGUGGGGGACCGCGAGGGGAAGGCGCCUCCAGCCCUGGCCCCUGACCGCUGGCCGGCGUGAAAGACAUCGCCUUCUUACAAUGCAGAACAGACGAUGCACUGUCUCAGGUCACGCUUAGCCUCCUACGGGGGCACGACAGAAGAAGAGGAACAUUUAGAGAGGCACAGCUCCUACAUCCUUGGAUGGGGAGAGUGGGGAGCAAACAGGCCAGUUCACACUUCUUUCCUCUGUGAAGCCUUCCUUCUCCCAGCAUUCCCUCCCCUCACCCUACUGUGUUGUGGCCACCACUCUGCCUGGGACUACAGCCAUUUGUCCUUCUGCCUCUCCUCUGCCUGAGAGCAAGGAGCCUACUGUGAUCAGAGCUGGGGGAGCCAGUGUGAGCAGCAGGUGCAAUGAAAGGAUGUGGGAGUUUGAGACCCAUCUCUGCUGUGUGGCCCUGGCCAUGUGCAGUGGGUAAGUACAUCAGCAAGCAAACUGGCCUCAAGAAUCCCGCCCUAUCCUGGGCAUCUGGGGUUGAGGCUGGCUGUGCCAACCUUUGCACAGGGUUUCAAUCUGACCUCACUCAGAAAACGGAGCCACUUGCUUAGAGUCCCUCUCUCUGAACACGCUCUCCCCUCUGGAGGAAAAGCAUUGCAAUCCCAAGCUCCUGCUGCUGCCGUACAUCUGCAUCUUAUUCAUCUUUGAAGCUCCUGCAAUGCCUCCAACGGGGACACAACUAAAGGAAGCUCUCAGAACGCCCAGCUAUCCCCACUGCAGAAGGCUCUCCCUGAAAGGGCACAGGUGGAGGACGUUUGCAUUUAUCUGGAGACAGUUCAUGGAGAAACACAAAGAGGUGUCCUGACAAGACAACAGGUCCACAGCAGUCGUCAUCAUGAGUGCUCACCAUAUGCCAGGGUUCAUCUUUUAAAAUCCUUAACCAAACAACCAAACUGUGGUUGGGAUUAUUCUCUUUUUAUAGGUGAGAAAACUGAGGCUGAAAGCCAUUGGGUGGUUUGCCAAAGCUGAGAAGUAGCUGAGCUGGGGUUUGUACUCACACCACGGUGACUCGGAGGCCCAAGCCAGUUCUGACACACUGCCUUCCCAUGACAUUCCCACGACAGGUUCCCGAGGUCGUUGGAAUGCUUACACAUUUCAGCAACUUCAUGGCAACUGCCCAGCUCGACCCAGAAGAUAAUACUACCUUGUACUCCCCCUGCCGCUUCCUUCCUCCAGGCAGCUCACAGACAUGACCUCAUUCCCUCUCCCAGAGUCCCAUAGGGGUGAAGGACAGGGUGGGGAUCGUUAACUCUGCUUCCUAGGGAGGAAAGGGAGGCCCAGAGAGGGAUGCUGGCCCACCCUGGGUCAUCCAGCCAGCUAGCGGGAGAGCUGCAACUGGAAAUCAGGCUUCCCUGCCCUCGGGGACAGUUAUUUAGCCUCCUGGAUGUGAGCUAGAAUCACCCCUAAGAUGCAGCAAUUGGGGUACUCCUCUUGGGGUACUGGGACUCAGUGGCUGAAACAGCUCCAAGAGAGUUGGGCCUGUGCUGAAAACAGAAAUCCGAGAUGCAUAUAAAUUCAAUCCGUAUGAGAAGAGCAGGGUGGCCUGGGAGGAGUGGUCACCGCAGUGGCUCCACCUCCUACCCGGCCACCUGCAGCCCUGCCUGGGCUGCUCUUGGUCUCUCUGUGCCCAGCUUCCCUGGCCGGAUGCCCUGGGGGCCAGAGCAGCCGCAGGUGCGAUGAAAAGAACACUGGCCUUGAGGUCAUGGGACCUGGGGAGGAUAUUCACCAGGGGCCCCUAAGUUAGUCAUUUUAGCUCUCAGCUUUUCCAUUUUUCAUUCAAAAAAUGGGGACUCUAACUCCAUGAAAGAGACAUUGUGUGUGAAAUAUUUCAUCAUAAGCUGUGAAGCCUGCAAAGAAACUCCUGGUGUUCUCUGUAGCCUGAUUUCAUCUCUACUAAACGCUAUUUUGAAAAUG
rnacentral:lncRNA from 1 species